rnacentral:lncRNA from 1 species
AUAAAAUAUUUUUUUAUGCCAAAAAUACCCUUCCGCCCUCUUCUCUGUUGCUUCGCCUCCCUCCGGCUCGCCGUCUCGCUGCCGCCUCGCCUCCUCCACUGCCUCGCCCUUGCCCUCGCCCUCCCCCACAUCCUCUUCGCCCUCCUUCGCUGCCUCGCCUUUACCCUCGUUGCUCUUGCCAACCUCUCUAUCAGCGCCCACCUCGAUUUCCUCCCUACUAUCACCGAAAUCGAGGGGCGGCGAAGGUGCAGGAAGAGAAGGGGAGCAGGUAGAGAAGAAAAUGGAGAGAAAUCGCUGCCGAUCGAGGUGUGAAUCGCGGCCGAUCGAGGCGGCGGUCGAGAAAGAUAAGGGAGGAGACGAAAAUGGUGAGGGGCAAAAUGGUCAUUUUACACAUCGUACCCCCCCCUCCCCUUGUGAACAUUUUUCAUUUUACAAGGGGGCAAAGUGUAGGUUUUUAAAUGACAGGGGGAAAAGUGAAAAAUUGGGUUAUGACAGGGGGAUUUUAUGUAAUUUAGCCUUUUUAAAAUAAUAUAUUUUGUUUAUUGAUUUUUAGUGAAUGAAUGCAAUCUUUAGUGAAUGGAUGCAACCCUUAGUGAAUGAAUGCAACCCUUAGUGAGUGGAUGCAACUCUAAUCAAAGGGUGUGAUUCUUAGAGUGAAAGGAUGUGACUUUUAGUGAAAGGAUAUGACAUGAAAAGACACAUCUUUAUAGUGUGUCUCUUCGAGUAUAUGUCCGUUGGAAUUAAUUCUUACAUUCAUUGAACUUAACUCAUUAAACUUAUUGGUAGUUAUGAUCAAAUGAAAAGUUACAAUUGAAGGGUCACUUCAUGAAACACCCAUUCAUGAAUAGUCACUUCAUGAAGCACCCGUUCGUGGUCUAUAUAAGUCCACAACAUUGGUUGUAGAAAUAUAAGACGAAACAGUUAAAGAGUUUAAGUCUCCAUUCAUAAUAAUUCCAUUCUUGUUUUCUUAUUUUGUUUGACAAUUUAAUCGAGUGAGUGCUCAAAGACUCGACUUUGUGUGUGCAAACGUAGUUGAGGUUUAUGCUCCAUUGUAUCCUAGAAGGCUAACCCAAUGCGCACUAAAUUAUUUGAACUGUGGGGACGGAUUAAGUCUUAAGGAAAGUGGCAUUACUACACGCCUUGAAACCUUUUUCAUCUUUCUACUUUAUAUCUUUUUCACUAUCUGCUCAAACAGUCUUGGAUCCGUAGUGACUGUGGGGGUGCGCUGUGCUGAAUCNNNNNNNNNNNNNNNNNNNNNNNNNAAUUUUUUGCAUCAAAAAGUAAGGGAAAAUGAAGCUGCAGGGACUGAAAUAAAACUGCAGGGACUGAAAUGAAACUGCCCGUAGGGACUGUUUCGUAAAUACAGGGACCAAAGUGUAAACGGGUCAUAAUAUUUUCGUUAUAACUCCGAUUUGCAAAAUUUUUGUGGCUACAGAUUUCUAACGAAAAAUUACACAUUAUUAUCCAUAAUUUACCUCCUUCUUUAGUUGAGAAUCAAAUUCUUAAUCUAAAACCAAAAGAAGGCAUAUGGAUUCAACUGGAAAACAAAAAUACCUGCGGUGGCGAAGGUGUUGGAACCAAUUCAUCAUCUGAAGACACAUCAUUCUCAAUAGAUCCACUUCUGCCGAUUUGUGAUUCUGUGAAAAAAAAAAAAAAAACAAAGGAUGAGUGUGGCAACAUCAUGUGAAAUUAAUUAUAAGCAGAAUACGAUAAAGAUCACCUAUCAUUGAAGACAUAGUAAGAGGAAGCUUCCCAUGAGCUACUUUAAUUGAAGCAUCCAAUGGUAGAUUUUUUGGGCUUCUUAAAGGUUCCACAUUGCAUAUCUAUGUAAAAAUAUAAAUACAUAUAUAUAGUUAAUACAUGGAAAGAGAGGAUGUUAGAAUAAAUCAACAACAUUCGGAUCAUUCGAAUUCUAUGUCGCACCUUUGACCUUGUUGUAGAAUCUUGCAAAUGCAUUUCACCUCCGGUAGGUGAGUCCAUAAUCUAAAGGGAAUAGACAGGGAAUAGACGAGAUUGAGAAUUUUCCACCUUGAGGACAAGGUGGCUUUUGACGGCUGAGGAAUGAUACGUUUUUAGAUUAGAAUUUUCUAAUUAUGGAAAUAAAUAUUACUAUAUUAGGAUAUUUUAGUUAUUUCUUAACUUAUAUAAAAAUGUUUCUUCUAGAGUUUGAAAUAAUAAGAAGAAAUUGGCCAUCUCGUUCUAUCUUUUCUCUCAUUCUCUUCAUCCUUUUCUAUCUCUAUCUCUCUAUUAUCUCUCUCUUUCGGAGGUUCUAUCCUCUCAAAGUGACUGUUUACCUCUAUCGAUACGGUAGGAUCGUAUCACAAAACUUGUAAUACCAUCAAACAUAUGUUGGUCAAUCAAAAGUCCAGGUAAAUGAACUAACAACAAUUGUGCGUAGCACCGUCAAAAAGAAACAAACUUUUAUUAGCCUCUUUACGUCUCCACAAAAAUAAAUGACACAAUAUUACAACAGUGAAGCUCAAAUUUGACAUACUAAUAUUAGCUGAAAGGACAUCAAAGUCCACUUUUAGAUUUACAAAAAUAAAGACAUGCAGCAACUUUUCAUUCUGCUAUUUCAUUCUUGCUAAUAAAGACCGCGCAACUCAUACAACUGGAAUAAGCACACCAGAAUUACCAGACAUGGAAUGAUUCAGUCGCCAUAAUUCAUGCAAAUUUGCAGAUACAUAAUCUCAGCUAAAAAUAAAAUCGAAGAGCAUUAUAUGCUCCUCCCCUAAAUAUCUAUACAUGAUCUCUCUAAUCAACAAGAAAUACUUGAAUAGCCACAAUAAAAGGUGUGGUUCUUGUGUUCUUUCACAAAUGAUACAACAAAAUACCGCGACAACGGUUGUUCAGAGAAAAGGUUCCACAGAUUAGUUCACUGUUCAGUGGUUAUUAAUCAUUUGGAAAAAGCAUGCCCAGGCAGCAGUCAUAUUAGUUCCUGUUCUUUGCGACUAGCCAUUUUAGCAUUAUCGCGAUCAUGCUUGAACACAAAGUACAAAGGACUAUAGAAAAGGCAACACAAACCAAAAGGAAUGACCAUCAUGAUCAAUAAACCCCUCGAGAGUGCAAACGCCCCUUGAGGAGAUCCAUUCACCAGACUCACAAACUUUGAGUCAUAACCAUAGAUCUUCUCAGUUAGCAUUCCCACGGCAGGAGCCGCAAAUGAGGAGAACGAACCCUCAAAAGCUCGGUCGAAGGCGUAGAUCAUGGUGCGAUGCUUUGAGGGGACCACCUCAGCAAACAUUGGGUUGUUGGCACACGUGGCACACCAGCUGAUAGUGAGCCCCAUGAAAAAGAGGGUAGUGGCAAACGCGUACCAGUUGCUCACGGACUGGGGAAUGACGGUUAGUAGGAUCCACGAGAAUGGAAUGCCCAUAAAGGCACUGAACUGUGCGCAGAUGAUGCGGCCCGAGUCUGGAUAGUAUCGUGACAUCUGAUCUGCUAUUAUUCCACCGAGAAGUGAUCCAGUGGCGCAUCCGAUGGCAAAGAGACUGUUAAGAGCAGCUGAGCUUUUGUGAUCAAAACCUAAAGAAGAGAGGGUUUUAUUAUACAGCGUGUAAGUAACCACUAUAUAUGGUACUUUCAAAUACAAUCCAAGAUCUUUGCUAAUUAAUUCUGAGCGUGUAAAAACAUUUCCGACUUGUUCAUUACCAAUCAGUUCAAACCACAUUGUGAAGAAAACUAUGGCGGUCCAUGGCAAGGAUCCGACUAUCCCCUGCAGGACAAUGAUCUGAAAUGUUUGCACUCUCAUCACAGAUCUCAUUGCUAACCAGGAAUCACUCCAGACGGAAGGUGGAGGUAGACUCCCUUUGGUAACCAGAUGGGACCUGAGAGAAAAAAGAUUCCACUGUUGUACUGUAGUAGAGGUUACAAGAACCGCUCACAUUUGUAAGAAACCAAUAAAUUCUAAAUAACUAUAAUAGCAGAUCAUCCUGAAUCUAGUGCUAUGAAAUGCUUAACAUACUCAGCUUCUAGCAAAAUGUAGAUGGCUUAACAAAAGGGUAAGCUCACUUUGUAAAGAUCUUCCAAGGAAAUAACCAAUUCAUUAAUAAUUUAAUGGUUCUGACUACUUUUCACCCUAAGUUUUCAUUUUGUUCAUAAUUAACAACAAAUAGCUAAUUAAGCCGCUAACUUAAGAAAAUAUACAAUUCAAUUAAAUGAACACAAAUCAAAACAAAUGAAUGUUGAGGGGUUGUCAAUAAGAAACACAGAAUAUCAGGGGCCUACUUCAAAUUAUCAACUGUUGGAGUCUCUUCAUUCACAUUUACCUUCUCAUUUUCCCAGCCCUAGAGGAAAAAGGUCAAAAACUCGAAAGCAAGGUUUUAAGUGCCCGUCGGCACGGGUCGUAUCCACCGUGCCGUACCGUGCCAACAAGAUACUGGCACGAUACAGACCCCGUGCCGAUGGCAUAGCUCAAAACCCUCUAUUCUUUAAAUUAGUAAGUAAUUUCCUCAAUAAAGUUCAAAAGAUGUGAUAAAAAGAUAUAAUAAAUAGUUAGAAUAUUUUGUUGCUAAAGAAAAUAAAUAUUUCAUGCUAUUAUGUGUUGGCACACAAGAAUUUUUUUGACCGGCACGCAUCGGCACGGCUCGGCACGCACCGUGCCGGCAAGUUUCCGGCACGACCCCGUGCCACGGCACUUAAAUCCUUGCUCGAAAGUAUGUUGGUAAUGGUUGACAAAGCAGGCUAAUAACAAGCCCAACCUUUGAGAUUCACGUAUAAAUUGAUGUGGAAAUUCUCAAAGUAACUCAACUAAAUGUUGUUUGGCUGUGCUUAUGCUUUCUUGUUUGUUGUCCUCGAGUAUGCAAUUGAAUUUCCCGGCAAAUGGCAAAUCAUUGCAAACUAUAUAAUUGUAGGUUCUACUUGGGGAAAAAAAACAAAAAAUUAGUAACCAUCCGCUUUCGCUUCUUUGGCUCUUAAAAAAAAAAGGUUUGCAAGCUAAUCAACAAUCACAAGCAAGGAUUUAAGUGUCGUGGCACAGGAUCGUGUCGGAAACUUGCCGGUACGGUACGGUAUGGCACAGUACGUGCCGGGCCGUGCCGAUACAUGCCGGUCAUAAAAAAUUCAUAUGUGCCGACAUAUAAAUAUAUAAUAGCAUGAAAUAUUUAUUUUCUUUAGCAACAAAAUAUUCUAACUGUUUAUUAUGUACUUUUUAUCAAAUCUUUUGAACUUUAUUGAGAAAAUUACUUACUAGUUUAAAGAAGAGAGAGUUUUGAGCUAUGCCAUCGGCACAAAGGUUGUAUCGUGCCAAUAUCUUAUUGGCACGAUAGAUACGGCCCGUGCUGAUUGGCAAUUAAAUUCUUGAUCACAAGAAUAGAGAAGCUCAUCAUCAACACAAUCAAUUGUAUAGAAGUUGAGGAGGAGGACACCCAACAACAGGCAAAUUUAUCCAAAAAAAGCCCUAAAAUUGCUUCAAAAGUUAAGCAUACCAAUUUAUAGUACAUCACAUAAAAAAGUUUUCAUUAGGAUGUAUAACCAACAAAACUUCUGAAUAAUGAUGAUAUAAUCUAGCCCCAAAUCAUAGUUGAAAGAUGAAACUUUAAUACGACCAUACAACAUAAAUUUCAUAAACUAGCUUAAUUUUGUUGUUCUAGGAUCUACUUUAGCGAGUAUGUUUCAAAUUAUAAUUUUCUCCAUCACGUGAAUCAAAGACCUCAAUAAUGAUGAUAUUUCAAUUUUCAACUCUCUAUCACAAGAACCAAAGCUGGAACUACUGAAUUACUCACCAAAUCUACCUAACAUUCUUUUACUAUAAGCUAUACAGCCCUCCACUCUUUAUUGUCACGUGGAAAAUUGUAGGGCUGAAUGAUGAUGGAUUCAAAGGAUUCACAUACAUGAUAACAUGGCAAUACCUGAUAAGAUGCAAAUAUGUGAUACUCUUAUACCCAUCAUCCAUUACUGUGCUCCCUGUUUCUUACCACUACAAGUACAAAUUAAACAGAGCAUAUACCUUCUGAUAAGUAUGGCAUCAUACAGUUUCUAGUUCACUCUUUUGUAGAGCUUGGCCUAUUCUAACUGCAAAUGUAACUAUAAAAAUAUCAUUUUCUAUCGGCUUAAGCUUUUGCAGAAAAUGGUUAUUUCAUAUAAUUUAAUAUCGUAUCAGAGCAAGAGGUCCUGAGUUCAAAUCACGCCAGGUUCCUAGCAUAAUUGAUUUCCUCCUAUUUAAUUCAAGUCCACAUCAUAAGCCUAUUAAAAAGUUUCGAGCCCAGACGUGAGAGGGAAUAUUAAAUAUAAAAAUAUAAAAACAUCAUUCUCUAUCGGCUUAAGCUUUUGGAGAAAAUGGUUGUUUCAUAUUCUUUAAUAGUAAUCUACAUCCAAACUCCACCUCACUUAAGUCAAGAGUAAGGCCCAACACCAUAAGGUGUUCUCAUAUAAAUCGAGGUAAAGUGCACUAGCAAUCAGCGAUUAGUAAGAUUUCUUUGAUAGUAGAGUUAACAACCUUUUCUUUUUUUGGGCCCUACACUAAUGAAUUUCUCCGAACAAAAGUAAGAUCAUCAUUUACCUUUUUCACUGAUUUAGCUAUAUAAAAAAAGGAAAAGAACAAGGAAUAACAAUUGUAGAAUAUUUCAGCGAUCUUGCCACCAUAAGACACCAAUAAGAGCCAAAACAACCAAAAAAUCAGAAUUUAUUUAUUGUCUUGACACUUCAAGAAUCUUAUUUUCAGCCUGAAGACAGCCUUGACUAUGUUGGAAGUUAUGCAUAUGGACUAAUCGACAUUUGUAUAGAAUCUCAAAUAGGUUGAAAAGUCCUUUUAUGGUCAUAUUGGUUAAUCUAGCUUCCUAGAAAACACAGCUCUCUUCAAUUGUAUCAAUCAUUCAUGGACAGUAAAGUUAUUUUCCUGCACAGCCACAGAACGCGGGCCUUCGUCUCUCUCUACUACUACAAAUUGAGAUAUCCAAGUUUAGUAUGAUAAGGCUGAAGUUGGUCAUGGGUGAUAGACUUGUUCGGUAAUCAAUUUAUCUUAUUUGAUUAGGCAAAGAUCACUGAAAGCUAGUUGUUUGAUUAUUUUCCGGCAGCUAGAGCAUUUUUAAAACCUACUUAUGUAAGCCAAGGAUAUGGUGUAAUUCAUUGCAUGACUAAGCGUGACGAGAUCCACAAAUAGGACCUUUCUCAAUCCAUUGAAACAAGAAUACUCAUGAUUGAGAAAGUUUAUGUUGAGUCCUCCAAGAUAAUUUUUUAAAUAAGUUUAGAUACAUUUAUCCCUUCAUAGAUUGCAUAUGUGAGGCCUGAAAUCAAGUGAAAUUAUUGUGAUUACUAAAGGAUGAAGGCCUUCGGUUCAUCGUGGGUUCAGAUUUUGAGUGAAGUUUUCAUUUCAUAAACUUUAUCCUAGUAUGUAACCUUGAAGUACCGGAGCCUCUUAGAAAAUAGAUUACAUAACUUCCAAAAUUGAGGCCAAGUUGUUUAAAGCAACACAUUGCCCACUUGUUGGAAAUGUUGGUCAAGAUAAGGGGACCAAAUGCAAGCCAAGAUCUCUUCGA